rnacentral:rRNA from 1 species
ACGGGUGAGUAAUGCAUACCGGACCUACCCAGACGUGGGGGAUAACGUAUGGAAACUUACGCUAAUACCGCAUACGUCCUACGGGAGAAAGCAAGGGACCUUCGGGCCUUGCGCGGAUGGACGGCCCCAGGUGCGAUUAGCUCGUUGGUAUGGUAGUGGCCUACCACGGCGACAAUGGCUACCUGGUCUGAGAGGAUGAUCUAGGCACUGGGACUGAGACACGGCCCGCUGACUACGGAGGGCAACAGUGGGGAAUAUUGGACAAUGGGGCCAAGCCUGAUCCAGCAAUGCCUCGUGUGUGAAGAAGGCCUUCCGGUUGUAAAGCACUUUUAUCACGAACGAAGUACCGCGGGUUAUAACCUCCUUGAGCUGACGGUACCUGAGGAAUAAGCACCGGCUAACUUCGUGCCAGCAGCCGCGGUAAUACGAAGGGUGCAAGCGUUAAUCGGAAUUACUGGGCGUAAAGGGUGCGUAGGCGGUUCGUUAAGUCUGUCGUGAAAUCCCCGGGCUCAACCUGGGAAUGGCGAUGGAUACUGGCGAGCUAGAGUGUGUCAGAGGAUGGUGGAAUUCCCGGUG